rfam:Myotis lucifugus cont2.27258, whole genome shotgun sequence.
GAGACAUCCUUCUGGGGCAAGACUUGCUUCAGUGGGGCUUUGGUGCUCACUGAGUCUGCCCCCUGAAUGUGUCUCU